ensembl:snRNA U5 U5 spliceosomal RNA
AUACUCUGGUUUCAGAUUACGUAAAUCUUUUGCCUUUUCCUAAAGAUUUCCAUGGAGAAGUACAGAAAUGAGUUUUUACCCAGUUUUUGAGGUCUUGUUUUUAUGAUGC